AUGGCGGAAUACCACGCCGCAGCUUGGGCAGUCGGCGGUUGCGCUAUAUACGUGAGUGACAAACCCGAAAACCAUGACUUCGAUCUGCUGAGGAAGCUUGUGUUUCCUGAUGGAUCAAUCCUACAAGCCAAACUGCCCGAGAGACAAACUGCACUAUCGUUGUCGCAGAAAUUCCGUGCGAUGGAAGCUUCUAGAGCCUGCUGGUACUUCCUAGCCAGAAGCCCCACGAGCUCGACGUCCAGCCCUACAACCACCACCCCACGCACAAGAAGGUGCUCUGCUCUUGCUCACAUCUAG
rnacentral:rRNA from 1 species